rnacentral:rRNA from 1 species
AACGAACGCUGGCGGCAUGCCUAACACAUGCAAGUCGAACGAGACCUUCGGGUCUAGUGGCGCACGGGUGCGUAACGCGUGGGAACCUGCCCUUAGGUUCGGAAUAACUCCCCGAAAGGGGUGCUAAUACGGGAUAAUGUCUUCGGACCAAAGAUUUAUCGCCUUUGGAUGGGCCCGCGUUGGAUUAGCUUGUUGGGAGGGUAAAAGCCUACCAAGGCGACGAUCCAUAGCUGGUCUGAGAGGAUGAUCAGCCACACUGGGACUGAGACACGGCCCAGACUCCUACGGGAGGCAGCAGUGGGGAAUAUUGGAAAAUGGGCGGAAGCAUGAUCCAGCAAUGCCGCGUGAGUGAUGAAGGCCUUAGGGUUGUAAAGCUCUUUUACCCGGGAUGAUAAUGACGGUACCGGGAGAAUAAGCUCCGGCUAACUCCGUG